GGGUGCCACAUGGCCCGGCAGGCAGGGCGGCUGGAGAGGCGGCGAGGGACGGGAGAUCAGAGGCCCUGCCCUUUGUCCAGGCACCGCCUCCCACUCCGCCCAAUCCCCCCUUCACCCCCUUCUGGACGUCCCCUCCCCCUUACCGAUGCCAGGCCCACCGCCCCGGGGGCCCGGCCCUCACGCCCGAGCCUCCAACAGUCCUCACCGGCCCGCAGGCCUGCUUGUCUUCCCGCCGCCCUCGUCUCCGCCCACAGCCGGUCGCUGGCUGCCGGAUCCCCAAGUGCUAUUAGAUCCAGACGGUUCUCGUCCGAGCGGCCCCUGAAGCUUCGGACGCCGUCUGCAACCGCAGCCACGCCCCACUACUGACCACGCCCCGCCCCGAGCCCCGCCCCGCUUCUGGACACGCCCCCACUGACUGUUACACCCAACCUCCAAAGAUCACGCCCCCCGGACAGCCACGCCCCACUCGCUGUUACACACCACCCAAUCGUCCUACUAUGGCCACACCCUCAAGGUAUAACCACACCCACAUCCUUUAGCCACACCCCCUGGAGUGGGGGACAAGCCUCUGUCCCUGACCACGCCCCGAUCACAGCAGGCCACGCCCCAGGCCAGAGCCACACCUCUCCCUGUAGAGCGAGGCCCUGGAGUCACAGGUUUGGGGGCUCUCCUGUGUUCCGCUUGCGAAGCCCACCCAGCGGCUUGGGGUGCCUUUCCUCGCCCUGUGGCUCGGAAGAUGUCCAGGGAGCGCGCUGGGCGCCCCUGCGGGGCACCGUCCUGUGCCCAUUGUCCCAAUGCCGGGACUUUAAUUUGUCCAAUUUUUCAGUUUAGUCAGAAGGGCAAAUCUGGUUCCUAUUAACUUCACAACAGCCAAAAACGGAAGAUGAGAAAUUAUCCUGACUGAUUGCCUUGCAAAAUUUUAUCUUCAGUAUCCUUACAUCCUUUGAUUUUUUUAUCUUUUCUGUUUUGAGCACCAGCUGUUCUUUUAAGGUCAUUUUGUUUUUUUGCCAGAUAUAUGAAAUUAAGUACCCCCCCCCCCCUCAAGUAGUUCCCCCUCUGCACCCAGUUCGGGGACUCCUGUGAUCUUGCAGAAACCUCCAUCUGUACCCCUUCCUCAGCACAUUUCCUCGAUUUUGGUUGAGGUGCUCUGCAAACACUGCUUGCCACGCAGUACCUCUCAGCUAUCAACCACCGGCUCACCUGAACUACUGAAUCUUCUGUUCAUAUUCAACAUUUCACCUCUUUUCCAUUCCUACCUCACAUUACCAAUACACUUUGAGGAUGUUUAUCCAGCGGAGGUGUUCAAUCUGUUCCUUUUUAGUGGCCGAAGUCUCAGAUUUUGCCAGAGCCCCUUUUCUUGCAAUCUUGCCCGCAGGAAAAGCCACUCACACUGUUUCCCAGUGCCCCAAAGCUGGCAAAGCUGGUGUGGACUUCCUGCUUGUCCAGCCGACCAAUCAUGCUGCAAAAGGAUUCUCCUUCCUUUCCAACCACUAAAAUAAGCCAAAUUUCUUCUGUUGCUGGGAAAGCUUAGUUUUGGGAGGUAUGGCAUCAGGGUGCUGAAUCUUGCAUGUGUGUUCCAUCUACUCCUCGGUCCUGCUAGGCUGAGGGUUGGUCUGGUGGUACUGAGCUAAGCAUUGGCUUUCCUGUUCAAGUCAGCCGGUUGUGUGAAUACAGUUCUGGAGCUGUGCCGGGCAGAUGCCAUAUUUGCACCUGUUUCUCUGCUGUCCAGAGGCCACAUGUUCUUCCAUUGAGAGACCACUGUCCUGUCUUCCCUUGGAGGAUUUCUCAGCAUUAUUUUCACUCCAUACUCAGCUCACAAGUGAACAAUUCAACUAGCUCCCCAAUUUGAAAGGCACUACAGCAAUCUGAUUUCUUAAACGUGAAAGGCGACUUUUUUUUUUUUUGUCGUGAUUACCUCAGUGGUGACUGGGCAGGGGAUAGGGGAUUACAUAUUUGUUGUACUUCUUCAAAGCCUUUGAAUAAUUUAAUUUGGGGAAUACUGUAACGCUGUUGUGCGAUGGGUCACGCAUUCCCUCUCUUUAAAGGACUUAGUUGGAUGGACCACAGAAUUGGGCAUUAUUUAGGAUGCAGUGAAGAGCAGCGGGUCCUUUCACCCUCAAGUAUAAGAGGUCUAGCGUUAACAUCUGGCGUAUUUAAGAGACUUCAGGGGGAAAAAUCUGAAAAGUUUACUGAUGCCAAGUUGAGCAGUAGUAAAUAUGGGGAUGGAGGAGGCAACCCCAUGAUGAAAGAGGCAGGCUCAGGCUGAUAUGGAAGGGGAGCCAUGGCUGUGCCUGACUCCCCUUAACAUGCCUAGUGGUUAAGCCUAGCAGAUGGAGAGAACAAACAGGCAGCUGGUGUGGGGGAGCAUACCAUCAAGCCCCAAUCUGCUCCUUUAGCAA
rnacentral:lncRNA from 1 species